GAUGAACGCUAGCGGCAGGCCUAACACAUGCAAGUCGAGCGCCCCGCAAGGGGAGUGGCAGACGGGUGAGUAACACGUGGGAACGUGCCCUUUGGUUCGGAACAACUCCGGGAAACUGGAGCUAAUACCGGCUAAGCCCCUCGGGGGAAAGAUUUAUCGCCGAAGGAUCGGCCCGCGUCGGAUUAGCUAGUUGGUGGGGUAAAAGCCUACCAAGGCGACGACCCGUAGCUGGUCGGAGAGGAUGACCAGCCACACUGGGACGGAGACACGGCCCAGACUCCUACGGGAGGCAGCAGUGUGGAAUUUUGGACAAUGGGCGCAAGCCUGAUCCAGCCAUGCCGCGUGAGUGAUGAAGGCCUUAGGGUUGUAAAGCUCUUUCGCCAGGGACGAUAAUGACGGUACCUGGAUAAGAAGCCCCGGCUAACUUCGUGCCAGCCGCCGCCGUAACAC
rnacentral:rRNA from 1 species